GAUCCUGGCUCAGGAUGAACGCUAGCUAUAGGCUUAACACAUGCAAGUCGAGGGGCAGCAUGUUGGUUGCUCGCAACCAAUGAUGGCGACCGGCGCACGGGUGAGUAACGCGUAUCCAACCUACCCUUGUCCAUCGGAUAACCCGUCGAAAGGCGGCCUAACACGAUAUGCGGUUCACAGCAGGCAUCUAACGUGAACGAAAUGUGAAGGAGAAGGAUGGGGAUGCGU
rnacentral:rRNA from 1 species